CUGUGCGUAAAACAGCGACCUU
rnacentral:miRNA from 1 species